AAAAGAAAAAAAAGAAAGAAAGAUAUUUACUUCUGUUGAAAUGGGAUGGAGAUAUGAGGGGGAAAGUCCGAUAGUCUGAGGGGAAACAAUCUGUUCCGAUUUUCCUGAGAGAUUUGAGGAAUCCCAAUUUCUUCUUUUGAAUUUUGAAAUCAACAGAUUUUUCCAUUUUCAGUUUGAGUCGCAAUCUUCGAUUUUUCUUAUCCGCAACCAAUCUGUUGAAAUCAAAUAAAUUUAUUUUUGUUGUUGUGUUUCGUAUUUUUUUGGAGCAACAACUGAUAUUAUUCUCAGACUGAGAUAAGAUUCUGAUUAUGUUUUGGCCUGAAAGUGACUAUAUUUAGCUUUUGUUAAGUAAAGUUUGUUUUGAUGUUUUCUGGGUUCCGCAUAUGAGAAACUUCGUUUCCAUUUGUAGCGAUUGAUGAGAAAAUCGGGUUUAAUCAUAUGAUAUGAAGCAUAUCCUUAGUUGACCGAAACUGGUUUUGAGUAAUUGGAGAAGAGAUUUUGGAGAAUUUUCUUUUUCCCUUAGCCAAUCGUACUCCAGAAUUCUUAAAGUUUGGACUUUCUUAUUGAUCGUUCGAGAAAUUGAUAAGAGUUUUCCUAGUUUUUUCUUUUACUACAUAUAUAUUUUCAUUUUCCAUAUGGAGAUUACUGCAUCAAACAAGUGCCAUCUGCCACUUCUUUCCAUUUUGAGAGUCUACCUGCAAAUUCUUUAGGGAAAUCCUCUUAUUUUCCGUAAACAAAAUUUCCCCCAAAAGUGUUUUUCACUCAUCUAGAGUAGAACCGAUGGCCGUGUCAUUAAGCCGUUUUUCAUUAUGGUUUUGGAACGGGAAGGAGAAAGAGACAGUUGCAAAUGGGUCGACCCCAAAUUCUUCAUCUGAGUUCGGUACUGGUCUGAGAGAACCGGAGAGUCUUAAGUUCAAGAGGGUGGACUUGCCUUCUUCAUCAAAGAAAGUCAAUAAGCAGAAAUGGCAAAGUAAGAAAGAAACAAGGAUUGAGUGGGAAUACGAUUUUGUGAUGGUACCAUCUGGCGGUGAUGACAUGCAAAUGUCUGAUUCUGGUGACGAGGCUGAUUGGUCUAUUGGUUGGUUGGAGCCUCAUGGUCCCGGUUUUCAGAGUGAUGAUAGUUUUGCUGUUUUGGUCCCUUCCUAUAGCAAUCGUUGCAAGGAGGUGGUGGAGGGUUCGAACGUGGAGCUUUUGGCUGCCAUUAAAAAACUUCAAAAUGAAUUCUCACCUGGUCUCUUGGUUAUCUUUUGUGUGCAUUGCAUGAAUUACUCCACUAAAUUUCAUGAUUUGAAGGAAGCAACAUCAGACAACUUUUGCAUGAUGACACCAAGUGUAUCAUUGUACAACUAAAAUGAAAAAUCAUGGUACUAAGGAAACAUGUCGUGGUGGCAGCUGGUCAGACGUAGGGUGAUAGAUUAACAGCCAAAUUUCUCCUCUUUGAUGUGCUUUUUGAGAGCAAGAAGUAUAUGGAGCUAUGGCUUUCUUCGCUGCAAAACUCGGUAGCCUGAAGUACUCUAGGUGACAACGCUUCGCUGAUGCUCAUUACCCAAAGUUUAGUAUCUUACAGACUAGCAGUUUAUAAAAUAGAAUAACAGACCUAAGUUUUGUUUUGUGCAUAUCAAGAUCUUGCUUUCCAUGCUCCUGUUUUGCAUACAUAAAUUUGAUUGACAAUCUGGAAAUCAUUGGAAAGGGGAUUUUCUUUCUUUUUAUUUUUGUUUUCGUUCACCCCAUAUUGUAUACACUAUAUGGUAUACAGUCCAUAUACUAACUACUACCGUUUUUUUUUGUCCUAUUUCCUAUAAUUAUCUCU